AUGGUAUCAACAGCGACACAGGACCAGCGAUCCGUACAGCGUUGGCCCCAUUUCACAGAUGCAGGAGCCCAUAAGGAAUGGAGCCUCCCUCGGAAAGACGACUUUACGGUGCUCUUGAGCUCCCCAGGCAUCCGGAAGAAGAACCCAGAAGAGGAGACCUCUGAAAGGAAAUGGAUGAAGUUCAGAAUCUCUGGGCACAAAACCCAGCUCUUCGGGGAAGCUGGUGGUUGUUUGUGGAUAGAGCUGACCAUCGGCUGGACAGCUUUCUCUAGGGAUGGGGAUGCUGGGGAGCCCCAAGAGUGGGAGUGGGGAGCAGGGUCAGGGUGCAGUAAGAGCCUUUGCUUUUCUGCAUCAGCUGCUCAAAGACAGGAUGACAACAGCAGCAGGGGUGGGAGCUGUCUGUCACCUUUGAUGAGCUUACCACUUGCUAAGCAUCAUCGUCUUUAAACGUAAAAACUCAUUUCAUCCUUAAGGUCACUUUGUGAGGCCUGUAGCUAUGAGAGCAGUGGGUGGAUAUUCAUUUUGCAAAGGAGGCGUGGAAGGGAAUCCAUUUGCCCGGAUGAUGCUUGCUGCUGGGGGUUGGGAGGAGCAGAGCUGGGGUUUGAAUCUCUUUGUGAACCCAGCACAUGGCUUGUAGGGCGCAUAAGCCUCUCCCAAAGUGCACACCCCUUUCCCUGCCCACAGUGCCCCCGUUAGUGGCCCACUCGUGGGCGUGCUCUGUGCUCCAGAGUCCUAGUGGGGGGCCAGGGUGCCCAGAAACGGCUCAAAUUCAUUCCUUGCCACCGUGUCCCUGCAAGUCCUGUCCCUGCUCAGUCACCUCCACCCUCCGAUCAACUUCCUUCUGGAGGGAGAAGCACCUGAAUCGUGGGGGUCACCAGCCCCUGUGCAGGGCAGCCCUGCCUCCCAGGACACCCUCCCCCACCCGGCAGGUAUACCAAACCCAGAGAUUUAUCUCCUGGGUCAGAUAAAGGUGACUAAAUGCAAACCGGCCCAUUCCUUUCUGCACACGGUUCCCUGGGGAGGGCUCCUACAAGGAGUCGAAGAGCCAAUCGAUCAGGAAAAUGCUUCGAGGUGACUUACAGGGGAGAUAUAAAGGAAAAAAUCCUUGCGUCUUUACAGCCUAGGGGGACUCUUCAGCCUUGUACAACUCCCCCAGCAGCCAGAAGGCUGGCGGCAGGCCCCUCCUCCCCGACUGCCACUGGGCCCGGAGGAGCUCUGCAGAGUCUGACCUCUGAGCCCUCCCGCGGAGUUCUUUACUCCUCUGGAAAGCGUUUGUCGCGUGCCUACUGUGUGCUCCGUGUGCUGCAUCCUCUCGAAUCCUCCAGAUGGCGCUGUUGCCACCCCCUGCUAUGGAAGAGGAACUGAGGUCUGGGAGGGAGGUUAAUCCAGGUCCCUCCAGUCUUCAAGCAAGCCUGCCCUGGGACACAGGUCAGAUCCACCAGGGGCCUGCACCCAGCCUCCUUCCCAUGUCACUCUCUGAUCAGAUCGUGUUCCCCACUGGACUUCAGCUCCAAGCUUGACUCAUUCUCAACAGCCUCCUCUGCCGGCUUCCAUCUCUUCCUAGCUCUCAGCACUACUGACUUGCUGUCUGCUCUCACAGACCCAGACCAUGAACAG
rnacentral:lncRNA from 1 species